CCUACGGGAGGCAGCAGUGAGGAAUAUUGGUCAAUGGGCGGAAGCCUGAACCAGCCAAGUAGCGUGCAGGAUGACGGCCCUACGGGUCGUAAACCGCUUUUGCACGGGGAUAACACCCUCCACUUGUGGAGGUCUGCAGGUACCGUGCGAAUAAGGGCCGGCUAAUUCCGUGCCAGCAGCCGCGGUAAUACGGAGGUCCCGAGCGUUAUCCGGAUUCAUUGGGCUUAAAGGGAGCGUAGGCGGGCGUUCAAGUCAGCUGUAAAAGCGCGCGGCUCAACCGCGCCCCGCAGUUGAAACUGGACGCCUUGAGUUCACAACAGGCAGGCGGAAUUCGUGGUGUAGCGGUGAAAUGCAUAGAUAUCACGAGGAACCCCGAUUGCGAAGGCAGCCUGCCGGGGUGCGACUGACGCUGAGGCUCGAAGGUGCGGGUAUCAAACAGGAUUAGAUACCCUUGUAGUC
rnacentral:rRNA from 1 species